AAUACUAAUAUGUAUCGUCAAUUUAGAUUUUACAAGGUAUAAAGAAGUAAUUAGCUUGAUAAAACAGAAUAAUUACUGAACUGAAUCUAAUUGCAAAUAAGUAAAACAGAAGCACUUACAGUUUUAACUAAGAAAGAAACUGUAAGGUUCGGUUUGCAAUUUUUACCACUUAAAACUAAUAACGGAAUAGAAAGGAACGUGAGCAAUUUUCACUCGAUUGCUUGCCGGACGGCGAGCUCUGUCUGCCGGAAUCGGCUCAUAGCUCCCAAGGUCGCCGUUGGAUCACCACGAUAGUUUUAACAAGGUAGACAUUGAAUUUUGAUAUGGAUAUUGCGCUAUGAAAUUCUGUUGAAAACAGGGUUUUACAUAAUUGAAAUAAAGUUUAAGAAACUCAGUAGAGUACACAAACUACAGUAUGAAAGGACAAAUUGAGUAACUUCAGAGAGAAAUUUCUUAUUUAACUACAAAAUUUAGAAUUUUAGUGCUGAAUCAAAAGAAUGAACAACAUAAUACACACAGAGAGUAUAAUUCGAAUGAAGAACUGGAAACGAUAAAAAAAAAAUUAGAAGAACACAAACUGAAAUUGAACAAUUGACCGGAUUGAAUAUCUGAAAAUGGAAAGGAGAUUUAAUAGAAAAAAGAUUACCAAAAAUUGAAGCAGGAAAAGUUACACAAUAAGGCAUAGACAGAUAGAAUCAGCAAGCCAAGAACUUACAAGUGAAAUUGAAAAAAAAUCUGAUGCCCGUCUUCACACUCGAGAUGGAAUACGAAAACAAAAUACCCUAUUGCAUUCAUUGUGUGGGCUUCGGCCAUUGGCCAAAACACUGUAGAGGGGUGAUGAACAUGCUUAAAGGAUGCUGAGAAGAAUACAUCAACAGAAAGCAGACCGGAGAAGAACCUGUCGAUCGCUAGAACGAUGGCUGUGCUGAAAUUUCAAAUCCAAAAAUAUCGGGAAGUACAGUUCGCCGUAGGAGACCAAGAGAUAGACGUAGGCUCAGUAGGAGGACAGAAUACAAACAGAUCAAUCGGCAACAGAGUCCCAAAACAGAUUAUCCGAGACGUGGAUUUCAAUCCCCAUCCCCGCGUACCUGAAAAUGACUAGGGAUUUCGAUAGGGGACGAGGAUUUUCCUACUUUCUGGUAGGAAAGUCCUCCCCAUAUCCAUACCCGUUCGUCUGGAGACGACGGGUGCCGG
rnacentral:lncRNA from 1 species